rnacentral:rRNA from 1 species
AAUCAACGCUGGCGGCGUGCCUCAGACAUGCAAGUCGAACGCGAAAGUCCCCUUCGGGGGACAAGUAGAGUGGCGCACGGGUGAGUAACACGUAGGUAAUCUACCUUCGGAUGGGGAAUAACAAUCGGAAACGGUUGCUAAUACCGCAUAAUGCAGCGGCACCUAAUGGUGACAGUUGUUAAAGCGGGGGAUCGAAAGACCUCGCGUCUGAAGAGGAGCCUGCGGCGGAUUAGCAGUUGGUAAGGUAAUGGCUUACCAAGGCGACGAUCCGUAACC